rnacentral:tRNA from 1 species
GCCGGGGUCGCCUAGUGGCUAUGGCCGCGGACUGCAGAUCCGCUCACGUGAGUUCGAUUCUCACCCCCGGCUCCA